GGCCCCGUUGCACAGCUGGAUAGUGCGUUCGCCUCCUAAGCGAAAGGUCGCGCGUUCGAAUCGCGCCGGGGUCGCCA
rnacentral:tRNA from 1 species